AUUGAACGCUGGCGGCAUGCCUUACACAUGCAAGUCGAACGGUAACAGGUCUUCGGAUGCUGACGAGUGGCGAACGGGUGAGUAAUGCAUCGGAACGUGCCCAGCAGUGGGGGAUAGCCCGGCGAAAGCCGGAUUAAUACCGCAUACGACCUGAGGGUGAAAGGGGGGGAUCGCAAGACCUCUCGCUAUUGGAGCGGCCGAUGUCAGAUUAGCUAGGUGGUGGGGUAAAGGCCUACCAAGGCAACGAUCUGUAGUUGGUCUGAGAGGACGACCAGCCACACUGGGACUGAGACACGGCCCCGACUCCUACGGGAGGCAGCAGUGGGGAAUUUUGGACAAUGGGCGCAAGCCUGAUCCAGCAAUGCCGCGUGCAGGAAGAAGGCCUUCGGGUUGUAAACUGCUUUUGUCAGGGAAGAAAUCUUCUGGGUUAAUACCUCGGGAGGAUGACGGUACCUGAAGAAUAAGCACCGGCUAACUACGUGCCAGCCGCCGCGGUAACAC
rnacentral:rRNA from 1 species